rnacentral:rRNA from 1 species
AUACUCUCUUGUGACCGAUAGUGAACCAGUACCGUGAGGGAAAGGUGAAAAGUACUCCUGUGAGGAGAGUGAAAUAGUACCUGAAACCGUAUGCUUACAAUCAGUCGGAGUCUUUCUAGGUCUUCGGACUUAGCGGGAUGACGGCGUGCCUUUUGCAUAAUGAGCUAGCGAGUUACUUGUGUGUUGCAAGGCUAAUCCGUUAAGCGGAGAAACCGUAGCGAAAGCGAGUCUGAAUAGGGCGACCAUAGUAACAUGCAGUAGACCCGAAACCGAGUGAGCUACCCAUGGCCAGGAUGAAGUUCCGGUAACACGGAAUGGAGGUCCGAACCGGUGUAGGUUGAAAACUGCUCGGAUGAGCUGUGGGUAGGGGUGAAAGGCCAAUCAAACUCGGUGAUAGCUGGUUCUCCCCGAAAUAGCUUUAGGGCUAGCCUCGCAUUAGUAUCACGGAGGUAGAGCACUGGAUGGACUAGGGGCCCCACAAGGUUACCAAACCCAACCAAACUCCGAAUGCCGUUGAUAUGAUGUGCGGGAGUCAGGGCGUGGGGGAUAAGCUUCACGUCCGAGAGGGAAACAACCCAGAUCACCAGCUAAGGUCCCCAAAUACAGGUUAAGUGAUAAAGGAUGUAAGAUCGCUUAGACAACCAGGAUGUUGGCUUAGAAGCAGCCAUUCAUUUAAAGAGUGCGUAAUAGCUCACUGGUCAAGUAAUCUUGCGCCGAAAAUGAUCGGGACUUAAGCCUGUUACCGAAGCUGUGG